rnacentral:pre_miRNA from 1 species
CAAAUACUCCCUCCGUCCGGAAAUACUUGUCAUCAAAAUGGAUAAAAGGAAAUGUAUCUAGACGUAUUUUAGUUUUAGAUACAUAUCUUUUUAUCCAUUUUGAUGACAAGUAU